GUGGGGAAUAUUGGACAAUGGGCGAAAGCCUGAUCCAGCCAUGCCGCGUGUGUGAAGAAGGUCUUCGGAUUGUAAAGCACUUUAAGUUGGGAGGAAAGGCAGUAAGUUAAUACCUUGCUGUUUUGACGUUACCGACAGAAUAAGCACCGGCUAACUUCGUGCCAGCAGCCGCGGUAAUACGAAGGGUGCAAGCGUUAAUCGGAAUUACUGGGCGUAAAGCGCGCGUAGGUGGUUUUGUAAGUUGGAGGUGAAAUCCCCGGGCUCAACCUGGGAACUGCCUCCAAAACUGCAUGACUAGAGUACGGUAGAGGGUAGUGGAAUUUCCUGUGUAGCGGUGAAAUGCGUAGAUAUAGGAAGGAACACCAGUGGCGAAGGCGACUACCUGGACUGAUACUGACACUGAGGUGCGAAAGCGUGGGGAGCAAACAGGAUUAGAAACCCGGGUAGUCC
rnacentral:rRNA from 1 species